UACGCGUAGGUUUCAGAGGUAAGUUG
rnacentral:piRNA from 1 species